AGAUGCGUUCAGUGAAGCACAGGGAAAGUGUCGUUGUUUACCAAUCUGAGAGAGUGUCCUAGAUCCAAGAAGACAUAAAUCCUACCCAGACCAGCUGUCAGCUACGUGUGUGCCUCUCUUUGGAAAAUCUAAUUUAGUAAAGGCAACACAGACAUCUCCCUACAAUCCUGAGCACAACACAAGCAGAGGUGCCAGGUACCAAAACAAUGGGCAUAUGGAUUUUUUCCUAUGGAAGACUAGCAAUACACUGAUUGGGACACAAGCUCUCACCUGCAUUAACUCUAGGAACCUGUUCUACAUUGAUUUAUUUACUUUUUUAAGUGACAACAGAAGCAAGAAGUAAUACAAAACCGGAAACACUUUAAAGUUGGCAACAAAAGGAUGCUUUGGCCAAGUCAUAGAAUCACAGAGUGGUUUGGGUUGGAAGGGACUUUUAAGAUCAGGUAGUUCCAACCCCCUGCUAUAGCAGGGACACCUCCCUCUAGCCCAGGUUGCUCACAGCCCCAUCCAUCCAGCCUGGCCUCGAGUGCUGCCAGGGAGGGGGCAUCCACAGACUCACGGAGCAACCUGCUCCGAGUCAAGAACAUCUCUUUUAGCUUUGCCCUUUAUGAACUGAUGAGAGACUGCUCUUUCUCCUAACCUCAGAACUGAAAUGCAGAAUCUCAAAAGUGCAGCCUCUAAAAUGGUUGGGUUAUUAACUACUGUGCUAAGAUUAUUUGCUAAAUUACAGCACGGAUGUAUUCUCCAGCUUAUUAUUUCCAACAACAGGCAUCUUUUACUAAGAAACUCAACUUGGAUAAUCAAGAACCACCCACUGUGAAAUGAAUGAAGUGUGUUCUCCGGAGAGCACAAUGACUUUCUUUACCAGUGCUGUGCCUCAACAGAAUGGCAAUACAUCCCUGACUUGGCAAAUGGGGCUUUGGAAAAGAAAUGAUUUUUUUUUCUUUUCUUUUUUUUCCCUCUCUUUCAGACAGAUGAAAUUGUUUGUUAAAUUAAAGCAAGGUCUUAAGGAGUGAGAAGUUAACAAAUAGUGAACAAACAGCAGACUUAAUGGACCAGCACUAAAGGCAGAGUGCUUUCCUAUCCAUCAGCGCUUCAUUCCAAAGAAACCCAGGGAGUAAAAGCAGCAAAAAGGGGAACUUUCUUUUCAAACAACGUUGAACUCUUAAAAAAUGAAAUAUAGAAGUUAGGGAAAGGGUUUGCUGACACCAUCUCUGUUUCACCAUCGUCACAUCUUCAUAGUGAAGAUUUUGGGACCUGCCAGACAGCUCUGAAGGAUGAAUUGGUUGUUUUGUACCAUAGGCUAACUGAAGUGGUCUUGAGGUGAGCAUGGCUGGGUGCAGCUAAGCCUGCCUCCUUGCUUCCUUCCAGACCUGGAAAGACUUUCUCCCUAACACAGUUAGCAAGAGAAUCAACGUAACCCUCAUGGCCAGGAUGCCCCGUGCUGGGGGAAGCUCCUGUGCUCACUGCUGAGCAGGAGACUUCAGUGGGGGAAGAUGGCCAGAAGACCUCACUGCAAGGCAGCAAACAACAUGAGCUCAAAGAAUUCACCUUCUGUGCAAAGGGAGAGAUCUGAAGAGGCUCCCUGGUCAUCCUGCAAGCAGGGAUGAAUGAACAUCCAAAUCAACCAAUUUCACAAAACACAGUGACAAAAAUUAAGGAAAGGGGAAUUUUUUUCUUAUUUGGCAUGGAAAUAAAUGGAUGCAUUGGUUUGCACUCCAUAAUCCAGAAAGCUUGAAUCUCUGUGUCAGGAUGCCUCUCGCACAGUAUUGAAGAUGUGCACAUUUGUCAGCUCUUAACACUUAAGGGACUCCCAGUACAUCUUGAUUUUAUCCAAUUUGGUGCAAAUUUAUAUCUGCUGAGCUUUGCUUGCAGGACAGCAGCAAGAAGGAUGAACUGUUCAAAGGCAGUAUGAUGUAGCAGCUUCAAGUCAUGCAUCAGAAAACUUCCACAUAAAGAUUUUUCCUUGCCAUCUGCACAAACAAAGCUGUCCUGCCCAUCCCCAUGGGCUUCACUCCCUCCUGCAGCAGCAAAACAGGCUCUGCCCUUCUCCAACCUGCUCUGGAGACAGAGCUUCCCUAUCAGCAGCAGUGCUGGGACAGCCUGCUCCUAAAGCUUUACAAGACACACCACCGAGUUCAGAUCUGCAUUUGGACUCACAACAAAGAGAAACCUGUUCUCAAAGGUUCUCUUGGCCAAACUACAAAGCUGGGCUUUUUGUUGUUGUUGUGUGUGUUUUGUUUUCUUUCUUUGUAUGCAUGUGACAUCCUAACAAAGCACAGCCAAAGAAAUACAAAGUUUAAUUUGUUUGCGAAACUCAUUCACGAAGGCACAACGCUCACUGCAACAACGCAACGAGCUGUUCCAAGGAACACAGAAAUCAGACAGAAUACCUACCUCCUCUACUGUAUUUGAGCCUUUCCUCUAUUUCCAUGGAGAUUGCAGCUGGAAGGAUAUUCUUUUUCUUUAAUUUUGCUGGAUUUGAUGAGGUUCUGUAAAGAUUGAACCACUGAGUGCUGGGUUUUUCCUUUUUUUUUUCUUCUGACAUAACAUCGUUAUGUUGUUUGUAGGAAUUACGGUUUUUAUCUUCCUGUCAACAGAAUAUGCAUGCAAAUAGACUUAGAUUAUUUAUAGAGCAACAUCAAAUUAAACUGCUUGUAU
ensembl:lncRNA